GUAACGAGCGCAACCCUUGUCCUUAGUUACCAGCACGUUAUGGUGGGCACUCUAAGGAGACUGCCGGUGACAAACCGGAGGAAGUGGGGAUGACGUCAAGUCAUCAUGGCCCUUACGGCCUGGGCUACACACGUGCUACAAUGGUCGGUACAAAGGGUUGCCAAGCCGCGAGGUGGAGCUAAUCCCAUAAAACCGAUCGUAGUCCGGAUCGCAGUCUGCAACUCGACUGCGUGAAGUCGGAAUCGCUAGUAAUCGUGAAUCAGAAUGUCACGGUGAAUACGUUCCCGGGCCUU
rnacentral:rRNA from 2 species